UACGGAGGGUGCGAGCGUUGUCCGGAAUCACUGGGCGUAAAGGCGCGUAGGCGGCCUGAUAAGUAGGGGUGAAAUCCUGCGGCUUAACCGCAGGGCUGCCUUCUAAACUGUCAGGCUAGAGCACGGUAGAGGCAGAUGGAAUUCCCGGUGUAGCGGUGGAAUGCGUAGAGAUCGGGAAGAACACCGAUGGCGAAGGCAGGUCUCUGGGCAUUAACUGACGCUGAGGAGCGAAAGCAUGGGGAGCGAACAGG
rnacentral:rRNA from 1 species